CUUUAUUGGAGAGUUUGAUCCUGGCUCAGGAUGAACGCUGGCGGCGUGCCUAAUACAUGCAAGUCGAGCGAAUGGAUUGAGAGCUUGCUCUCAAGAAGUUAGCGGCGGACGGGUGAGUAAC
rnacentral:rRNA from 1 species